rnacentral:rRNA from 1 species
UACGGAGGGUGCAAGCGUUAUCCGGAUUCACUGGGUUUAAAGGGUGUGUAGGCGGGCAGGUAAGUCAGUGGUGAAAUCUCCGGGCUUAACCCGGAAACUGCCAUUGAUACUAUUUGUCUUGAAUUUUGUUGAGGUGGGCGGAAUAUGUCAUGUAGCGGUGAAAUGCAUAGAUAUGACAUAGAACACCGAUUGCGAAGGCAGCUCACUAAGCAAGUAUUGACGCUGAGGCACGAAAGCGUGGGGAUCAAAC